UGUGUGUCUAUAAGAGCGUAUGCGUUUGUACUAUGUUAAAAAAGCAAUUAAUAUUGGAUUCGGAUGCAAGCUAAGAAUAAUUUGCUCCGACACGAGAUAACAAGUUGUACAUUCACCAUAUUUGGCGUGUAAAUCAAAUAGUAAAAUUGAUGCACCAGAUAAGCCCUAUACUAAUUUACGCCCACUUAAUGCAUUUAAUACGAGAUAAUUCCCACUAGUAUUCUAAUUGUACGAUAAUUAAUGCAUUAACUAUUUGGUACUCCGUGAUCUCCGCCUAUUUGGGUCUAUAUAAACGCAACGAAGGGUGAGCGUGCCCACUUCAUCAAGUUUUCUUGGGUCCUCAUGGUCAUGGCAGUCUUUACGAAGAACAGGGUUGUUGCCGUGUGCUUGGGGGCUCUCAUGCUCAUGGCGACCCUUGAUCUCUCCUCGGCAGGUUCAGUCUAUGUUGGAUGUUUCGAGCCACACCAGAACUGCUUCCCAGAUGACUGUCAGAAGACAUGCGUGGACAAUAUUCCUGGAAACAAUCUGAAAGGUUCCUGCGAGCCGGACCAUGGCACACUAAAACCGUAUCCCGCGCUUCAGUGUUGUUGCUAUAGAGACCCUCCGGUCAUGAGUAACAUGGGCGCUUAAUUAGUCGACGACGGGGAUAAGACCAUCAGUUCGAUCCACCUGUUGUACACAACUAAUAGAUCAAUAUCUUUGAGGAAAGUGAGAUUAACAAAGUCGUGAGCUAAGUCAAAUAAGUAGUAUAUGUUAUGAUUAUUGAGAGAAAUAAUAAUAUUGUUGUCUGCGGUGCAUUA